AUGAAGACUUUCCUGCUCCUCUUUAUAUCACUGGCCUGCUUGUCAGGUGUCCAGUCUCAGCAACUUGUCCAGUCAUCAGACCCAGUGGUGAUAAAGCCCGGGAAUUCCUAUAGAGCCUCAUGUACGGCUUCUGGAUUCACCUUCAGUAGCCACUGGAUGAGCUGGGUUAGACAGAGUCCUGGCGGAGGAUUACAGUGGGUUGCUUGGAUUGAUAGCGUUGGGGGUAACAUAGUCUAUCAUGAUUCUGUUAAUGGACGAUUCACAAUCUCCAGAGAUAACAGUAAUAACCUGUUAUAUCUACAAAUGACCAACAUGAAGACUGAGGACUCUGCCGUGUAUUACUGUGCUAGACACACACUGAUAGAAGACAAUGUCUGA